GGGCGCAAGCCUGAUCCAGCAAUGCCGCGUGAGUGAUGAAGGCCUUAGGGUUGUAAAGCUCUUUCACCCACGACGAUAUGACGGUAGUGGGAGAAGAAGCCCCGGCUAACUUCGUGCCAGCAGCCGCGGUAAUACGAAGGGGGCUGCGUUGUUCGGAAUGACUGGGCGAAAGGGCGCGUAGGCGGUUGACCAAGUUGGGGGUGAAAGCCCGGGGCUUAACCUCGGAAUUGCCUCCAAAACGGUCGGCUUGAGUGUGGAAGAGGGUUGUGGAAUUCCCAGUGUAGAGGUGAAAUUCGUAGAUAUUGGGAAGAACACCAGUGGCGAAGGCGACAACCUGGUCCAUUACUGACGCUGAGGCGCGACAGCGUGGGGAGCAAACAGGAUUAGAUACCCUGGUAGUCCACGCCGUAAACGAUGAGUGCUGGAUGUUGGACGGUUGCCGUUCAGUGUCGAAGUUAACGCGAUAAGCACUCCGCCUGGGGAGUACGGCCGCAAGGUUGAACUCAAA
rnacentral:rRNA from 1 species